UGUGUGUAUAUAUAUAUAUAUAUGUGUGUGUGUGUGUGUGUGUGUGUAUAUAUACACACAUACAUACACAUGCCACAUUUUUUCCA
rnacentral:miRNA from 1 species